rnacentral:piRNA from 1 species
UAGAAGGCUGUUCCCAGAUAAGUAAGGCCUU